rnacentral:lncRNA from 10 species
CUUGACAGUCAGAACCUCCCACCUUCCUGAACAUAGUAAUGGCAAUAAUACAGGAAACACAGGUGACCCAAUUGACCAGUCCCAAGCUGGGAUUCUACCUAUGGAGGUUGGAGAAAGAAGACGUAAGCUUAGCCUGAGACUAAGUUGGGAUGACAUACACCUGAAGCUCCUGCAGCUGUGGCCCUUUCUCCUACUGCGCGGAGGAACUCAUCUACAGUGGGCUCCCAGUCUCAGCCUCCCCAGCAGGUCUGCAUGGGAGCCUCCAGAGUAACAGACCUCCCAGGCUGGCUCUGCCCGUCACCGGAUUCUUUCUUGAGCACUCCUUCUAUUGCACACUGGACGGCCUCUGCUUUGCAGGAAACUGAGGAAGGGCCAAGGUGAUUCUGAUGCAGCCAGACUCACAGUGGAAACAAAUCCAUGGAGCUGAGGGUGCACCUGCUCCCACCUAUGCCCACCCAUGAGCUUUCAGAAGCAUCCACUGCAAGGAUCACUCCCGCAGGAAAAAACUGAUAGACCUGGAGAUCGUUUGAGCACACUGACCUUGCGCAUGGCUCACCCUGGGCCCACCCCAUCUUUGAGCCUGGAGGGCUCCCCAAACCAAGGGCUCCUCCAAAGUCACCAUCAGGGGCCCUCCUUCUGCAGACCAUGCCCUGCCCUUUGCCCUUCACGCCCCACUCCAUUCUGUCUCUUGCAUAAUGACUGGCAAUCACAUCGCAUUUACCCUUCACAAAGCUCUUUCAAGUCCAUUAUUUCAUUGACCUUCUGUCUCCCAUCCAAAGACUGUUGGCUUCAUGAGGGCUAGCACCAACAAGUAGACAGCUGCUGCAAAGGAUGCUGGGCUGUGGCAGAGGUGCUGGGGCCAUGCAAGCACCAUGCCAGGAGCAGGAGGUCAGCACAGGCUUCUCGGAGGAGGUGACACCUGAGAUCCACUGGAUGAGUGGCAUCUUGACUAUAGAAAGUUUUUAUGCAAUCAUGACUUUGCCACAUGUUAACGUGCUUCUUUGGGUUAUAUAAUGAAUAGAGGAAUUGAGACAUGUCAUAAUUACUGGUGGCCUCAUUGUUUCUGGACAACUUCACAGAAAAUGCCAGAAUGUAUAUAGUAGUGUCAGGAAAUACGUGUGUGUGUGUGCGUGCGCAUGCAUAUUUUAAUCAUAUAAAGACUACUGGAUUUUUCAGACUCCUCCAAGCCAGAGACAAAUUAUCUGCUAUGAGAUUUUCAUUUGCCCCCAACAUUUUUAUGCUGAAACUUAAGAAGAGGCUUGUGCUGCUCCGCGCAACUACCCCCAACCCAGGUUUUUUCUAGGUAGAAGCUAUGGAUUCAGACAGACCUGGGCCUGACUUCAUGUUUGACCUCAUGACUUCACGUUUGACCUCCUGACUUCACAUUUGACCUCAGUCAACUUCUCUGAACCUCCAGUUCCUCCCUUGUGAUUCUUCCUGGGGUUGCGAUGAAGCCCUGUGUGUGGAGGCAUCUAGCCACAUGCCAGGCCCAUAGAAAGUGGCCAAUAAGUGUUGGUUUUCUCUUUCCCUGCAGCUUGCUUUUAAACGCUGGCACUGUCUCAGCUCGGUAGAAUGCAGCAUGGUACCUGCACAAAGAUGGCGCUGAAAAAAUGCUUGGUGAAUGAAAUAGACUCAGGGGGAGAUAAACCACUCAGAGAACACAGGUUGAUAAACGAAUCCUAUUUAGGAGUCUUUUGCUUUACCAUUUGAUAGAAACCACGAUGCUAGGCUUUGAGGACACUCUCAUCUUCCCCAGUGGCUGUAAAUCCUGCCAACAAGUUAUCAGAUAGUAAACGUUUUUCUUGUGAAGUUUUAGCAUUCUCUUGAACAAUAAAGGUGACCCUUUGGCCUCACUUAUCACAUUUCAUGAUAAAGUCAGGCCUCAAUGAUGGGCCAGUUUGGAGAUGAUAGACACAUCUGCUUGAAAGCAGAAGGUAAUACCCAUUCAAGACAAGGGCUUCAAAUGGGAGAGUUCCAUGCUAUAUAAAAUCCCAGCUCCGUUUCCACCACAAUAAACUGCUUUAGAAACUCAAAUCUGAUUUGGGCCUCAAAGGAGAAAAUUAAAACCAGAAACAGAGAUGUGAAUGCCAUAUUCUGUUUGGUUUGUUUUUUUGGGUAUGUGUGGCAGCAUUUUAAAAGGCAGAAAUGCAAACAUCCUCCUGUCAGGAUUCUACUCCAACAAGGUUAAACUUUUCACUGAGCUAUUGUUCUCAACAGCAAAUCUGUGACUUCACAGACUUAUAAAUAUUUUGCUGAUGUGCGUGAAGUUUCAAUUACAUGAACAGAGGAAUAGGACUGGAAUUUCUGUAAGCAGAGACUGCCUUGUCUGCCACUGUAUCCUCAGCCCCUUGCACAAGACCUGGCCCAUAGCAGAUGCUCAUCCAAUAUUUGCCCAACAAAUGAAUUAAGCCAUAGCCUCACACAUAAUCAUAACGCCAUAAUCAGUUUGGCAAACAUUUUAGAGUCACAAUGCACUUUCACCCUGUCUCAAGCAGUUCAGCCUACUGUAACACAAUACCAUCGACGGGGUGGCUUAUUAAACAAUAGAAAUUUAUUUCCUACAGUACUGGAGGCUGGGAAGUCCAAAAUCAAGGUGCAACAGAUUCAUGUCUGGUGACUGAUUACUUCCUUAUAGACAGCUGUUUUUUCACUCUAACCUCAUGUGGCAGAAGGGGCAAAGAAGAGGCACCUUCAUCAGUGAACCAGUCCUAUUCAUGAGAGCUCUGUUCCCACAAUCUAAUCACCUCCCAAAGGCCCCACCUCCUAAUACCAUCAGUUUAGAAGUAAGGAUUCUAACAUAGAAAUGUGGGGUGACAUAAAACAUUCAAACCACUGCAUACCCCUGUCAACAGAAAACCCAAAACAGUUUAAAUCUGAUACGUCCAGACUUCAGAACAGACACUCAUCCAAAGGCAAAUACUUGAACACCUCAAUUUCCUAUCAGGUCACAAGUCAGACUCUGGCCAGCCCUAUAUCUAGGCCGAACAUGCCUCCCUAUGGUGAGUUAGCUGUCUUCUUAUCAUUUCUCAUUUGAGAAGUGUCACAUAGAGUGAUGCAGUGGCCUUCAAUUUAUUCUUUGUCAGUCACACGCAGUAUCUCACCUGCAUAAACAACUCCAUGAAACUCUUAAGAAGACCUGAAAGUUAGUGCUCCAUCCACCUCCAGCUGUCUAGUGUGGUGUAUUAGAAAGAGCGCAGGACUGGGGCCUAUACUGAAAAGAAACUGCUGGAAGGAAAUAAUAAAAGCUGAGUCAUAAGGAACAACUGAGACUACAGAACAAGAAAGGCCAGAUAAGAGUGGGGAGCUGAACAGAGUCAGGGGACUCAGGCAGCGGCACACUAUAUUUUAAAAUAUGACAUGAAAACAACAGAAGCAGCAGCUCUGUGAAGUUAGGAGCAUUAUCUGAACCAAGCUUUCUUGUGCAAGUUCAAGAAAAACUAAAUUGGCACAAAAAGGAGCAACAGAAAAUAAUCAUCUUAUACCAAAUUAUUAUAAGAAAAAAGAGAAUAAGAACCUGAAUAAUAUCCCUACAGACAAUGAAAGCACACCAGAGACACUCACAAAAUACAUCAAACUGAAACCUACUAUUAAAAAAAGAAAAGCUAAAAGCCACUGGGGAUAAAAUACGAGACACAAUGGAAAAACAUAAAUUAGAAUUUAAAAAACUAAAAAAAAAAUGAGAACUAAGAACUAGAAAUAGAAGAAAAAUUCAUUUUAGAAAUGAAGACAAAACCAGAAUAACACAAUAGCAAACAACACAACUAAACAUGCCCUAAGAGAAAUCAAAGAUAAAAAGCAGUUAAGUUUUUUUAAAAACAACAACAAAAAAAUAAAAAUGAAAGAAAGAGACAAAGUGUUGAGAGGAUGUGACCAGAUAUUGAAAAUAGUCAAAGAAGGUCUAAUAUAUGGAUAAUGGAAACUGAAAAGUAGAAUGAAAGCAAGAGAAUGGAAAAUACUGAAAACUGUGAUUCCAAAACUCUCUUCUAAAAGAAAAACAUACAAUUUGAAGAUAUGUAUUGAAAGAGCACAUUGUAUAUCUAGGAAAAUUUGCCAAGAACAACCAAUGCCAAAAGAAUCUAUUAAAACCACAGACUUUAAGGAAUAAGUCCUUUAAAAGCUUAGGAAGAGAAAACGAUCAGAUUUAAUAUCAGAUUUUUAAAAAUAGUAGUUUAUGCUAGAAAAUGGAAUAACUUAAUAUAUGCAAGAGGAAAAAAUGCAAAGCAAGGAUUUUAUACCCAAGGAAACCAGUUUUCAAGAAUAGAGGGUGUAAAGAUGACACAAACUGUCAUCAACAUGUAGCAACCAGAAAAUUUUGUUAGCUGGGUGUGGUGGCUCACCCCUGUAAUCCCAGCACUUUGGGAGGUCGAGGCAGAUAGAUCACUUGAGCUCAGGAGUUCAAGACCAGCCUGGGCAAUGUGGCAAAACCCUGUCUCUCCAAAAAAAAAAAAAAAAAAAAAAGCAAAAAUUAGCAGGGCAUGGUGGCGUGUGCCUGUAGUUCCAAUUACUGAGGAAGCUGAGAUGAGAGGAUCAUCUGAGUCCAGGAGGUCGAGGCUGCAGUGAGCCAUGAUUGCACCACUGGACUCUAGCCUGGGUGACAGAGCGAAAUUUCUCUCAAAAAGAAAAAAGAAAAAAAAAAGAAAAGGAAAAGAAAAGAAAAGAAUUGUUCCUGUAGUCCUUCCUAAGGAAUCUACCAGAGAAUCAGCUGCAGAUGACCAAAACGAUAGAGAGACAUUAACAUGAAAUAUAUAUACUUACCAGUAGAACUAGGGACAAAA